CCUUAAUUGGUGAUCGAAAAUUGGUUUAAAAGUGUCCUAACUAAUCUUUUUUGAAGGGAAAGUCAGAAAUACAUUCAAACUCACAGUGUGUACCUCUGAGAGACAGUGGCUCAUUCAAGUAUCACUUAUCCAUUUGGGUCUUCAUUCAUUCACUCAUUCCCCAAAUCCUAACUGAGUACGUACUAUAAAACAGACACUUGCCAGGUAUUGGGGGAUGGAGGGUCUGAGUAGGGGUAAAGAUUAAUUAGGUAAUAAAAUCCAGAUUUCUUUUAAAAACAAUCAGAAAAUCUCACAAGGCUGGACCCACAUUCUCACACAAUAAUGAUUGCUGGCGCUGAGUCACUGGGGACCUACUAGGUGAAGCAGGAAUCCCUGAGUGCCUACAGCUCCCAUCCCCAAAGCUACAUCAUUACAGCAUUCCUUCAUGUUACCUACCUGUCAUUACCUAUGGACGUCUGAAUUCAUGAAUCUGAGCUCACGAAUUCUCAUUGAGAGAACCUUUCCAAUGAAAUACCCAUCGGAUGCCCUUUGCUGAGAGCCCGGAGUAGAACCAGUGCUAAAUUUCUAAGAGAGAGACAAAUACCUAAAUAACUCUAUUGCAAAAUAAAAGGUAUUAUCAGAAAGGGAAGGAUGAAAUGCUUUGAACAUUUAGGGGACAGGGAAAUUGUUUCUGGAGACUGGUACACAUCAGAAAUGGCUUCCUGGCAGAUGUAGCACCGAAUCUGGGACUUGAAUGAUUACAUUUUUUCCAUCAAUUCAACAAAUAUUUGCUAGAAGCCAGCUAGCCAGAAUGCUUUAUAGAAGAUGCACUCAGAAUUGGCUAGUUAUGAGGGAGCUGUUUGUCAACUGCUAAUUUUCUGUGGUUUGCUCUUCUUCCCUUUCCUUUUACAUUCACAAAUUGGGAAAGUUAAACUUGUAGAUCACUUUGGGGAUUGUCAAAGGGUGGCUUCUGGUAGAUACUGGUUUCUCCAAGCCAGGCAAACCUGCAUUCACUCAGCAUAUAUUUUCAAGUCUGGACUAUGUACCGUCCACUAUGACAGGAGUCAGAAAUACAGUGAUGAGUGCUGGCCCUGUCCCAUGUAAUUUACAGCCUUUUUGGAGAGAGAGGCAGUUUCAGUGACCUCACAAAUACAUGCAGGAGUGUAACUGUGAUGAGUACUGCAAAGGGAAGAGGGCCCUUGUUGCUAAAGGACUUAUAAGAGGAGUUGGCCAUGUCAGAAGGAUCAGGGAAGGCCUUACUGAGGCAUGAGGCUUCCUGGUGUGAAUAGCAGUUAACAGGUGGAGGGAGACCAGGUUCCAGGUGGAGGAAAUAACAUGUGUGUGGGCUCCUUUCCAGAAGAGCUGGAGAGAAGAGAGAUGAAAGGAAGGUGAUGCAGGAUGAAGCUGGAGGAGUAAGAAGGGGUUUGAUGAUAUAGCAGGCCCAGUCAAAGAAUCUUGUCUUUAUCCUAAGAGUCAAGAGAAGUUGCUGAGAAUUUUUAAGCAGGAAAGGGUGAUGAUCAUAUUUAUAUUUUGGAAAGAUCCUCCAACCUGCUCUCUGUGUUAAAACAGUUGAGUUCAUAUAUCUUCUGGCUGCAAUAAUGGGAAUGAACACAAGGCAGGACAGAGUACAUGGGGGGAGGCCGGUUAGCAAGCUAGUGUUGAGUUCAGAAGGAAGAUGAUGUUCUUUUGACUAGGAUGCUGGUGAUGGAGGGCAAUGAAAAAAUCUGAGAGAUAAAUAGGAGCUAAAUCAACAAUAUAAUGGGCUGAACAUGGAGGAGAAAAAAAGAAAAGAGUCAAACAUAUCUUCUAGGUUCCUCUCUGCCAUGCAUAAUUGGAUGGAUGGAAUACCAUUCACUAAAAUGAAUCACCACUUGGCUUUGUUCUAAGACUGCUGUGUACAGUUGUGUGAGUUGUGUACUACACCAGGGCAUCUGGCUAAUUAACAAAGGCAGAAGCUGAAAGUCAGCCCAUUCUCUGCUUGCCAAGACACAUAUCCCCAUGUAGGGUCAUGUCUACCCAGGUGGGAGGGGCAGCUUCUUAUAAUUUGCAAAAAAUAGCUAUCCAUUUGGCUAGAUAAAAAGUUAUACCUUUUAACCAGCAUUGCAGGCAUCCAAGAAGGCCCACAUAGGGUACUACGAGUGGGAGGGAGCACUAAAGGUGGUAAAGCCAGGGCCAGGAUACCUGGAUGGUAGAGACAAGGGCUGAAGAAGGUGAUGAGAAAAUGAGAGAGUGCAAAAAAUAUCAAGCUCAGUUUAUUUAUCCUGCAGUGGCUAUCUCUGGCAUUUCCUGGACUCCUGACCCACAGGGAGGGAUCCUGCCUGUGGCUCACCCUUCCUGUUAUUUUAAUUCUUUUGUUGGAUGCCUUUAAUGAAUGUAGACAUGGACACUCAUACAUCAGAGAGCAGAAGUACUUUAAGAACCAUCUAGCCCUACUCUUUCAUUACACGGAUGAGAACGCUGAGGUCCAGGGAAAUGGAAAGCUUUGCUCUGUCUCCUGCUGGGACAAGAUCCUUAAUCGCCUGAUUCCUCACAUCAUGCUGAUCUUUCCUCUAACAAGAAAUUGACUGAGCUUUCACAGACAACGAGGCAACACCUGAAAGAGCAAAGAUACCAAGUCAGAUUCAUCUGAGUUUGGAUCUCUGCUUGCCAUUCUUUGUUGUGUGAUUUUUGACAAGUUACUUAAUCUCUCCAAGCUUCACUUUCCCCACCUGUAAAAUGAAGAUUAAAAACACCUUGAAGGUGGGCUGUGAGGAUUAACGUAAAGCCUUUGGGAUAGGGUCUGAUAUUCACGAGCCACCAUCUAGACCACAUUCUCUACUUAUGUUGACUUCUCCAGCCCCUGUCUCUUCCCUACCCUUUCUCUAUUCUCAAAGGGUUUGCAGGGAUUCUGCAGAAAAUUUAUUCUUUGGAAAUUCUUUGUGGAACUCAACACAAAUUCAGCAUAUCAAAUAAACGAAAUAUUAAGAAAUGACUCUACCUUUUCCCCUAACCUUUCACUUAGGGUUCUGAUCCCUAAGAUGCAAAUGGCAAUUAACCCUGCACCCCACACUAGCCCUCUACCUCUCCCUAUGAUGACUCUGCACAGAUCUCAGGAAGCUUUAUGUGAAAAUAACACCUUGGAACUAGAAGCAGAAGGAACUAGAGAGGUUUCUGCUGGAAGCAUAAUAUAAAAGCCAGUUUUGAAGAAGGCGGGGGGUGGUGGGGGCUCAGAAAAAUGAGCGAUUACCAGAAGGAACUUUUUUUCUCCCAACAUGAUUUUUGAUGGCUCAUAGUUACUUUCAUUUGUUCCGUGACUUUGAGAGGCUGACAAAUAGCAGCCUCAUUCUGAAUGCCUAUUGUUACUCCUGAGGUUUUAUGUAGAGUAGAAAAGAUUGUUUUGAACGUUUCUCAUGGACAAGUGGAAGCUGUACUCUUGCUACAAAUGAUUCAUGUGGGAGAAAUGAUAUAUAAACAAGAUUGCCUGCUUGGAGAGUGGAUGAGAGGGUGAGUUAUUUCAGAAGGGCUCUUCACUUUCAUGCCAGCAAAUGAUAAAAGCUAGCUCUCAGAAUGGCAGGGGUGCUAUGGAAUGGAGGCUUCAGAAACUUUUUGACUCUUACAUUUUAUAGUCAAUGUCAAAAAAAUGUAUUAUAAAUUUCUGACUAAGUCCAGUUACUUUUUCAUGGUGAUGUAGCAAUAGGUUGAUUCAACCUUGGGCCUUGUCCUGUCAGUGUGUUGAGGCUGAAAGAGCCUGGGUUCUGGAAGCUGAGCCUCUGGGGUAAGGUAGGUGCCUAAGGGGCAAAAUUUCAGGAGGCACCUACUCUCAGGGUCAUACAGGCACAGAGUCAGCACUUGCACAAUCCUGUAAGUGAGUGCCUCCUUAAAUUUUGCCCUCUGGGUCACCCUCUUUUCUCACCCAAAUCCGGGCCCUGGAAUUGAAUUAGAAUCAAGACUCCAUCACUUAUUGGUGGUGCAACUUUAGGGAAUCAGUUAGGAUUAGUCUUGGCUAUAACAGAAAAAAGCCAAGUGAGAGUGGCUUAUUUCUCUAUUACAUAAAAAUCUAGAGCAAUACAGGACAGGGCUGGCAUAAUGUCCCCAUUGCAUAAAGUCAUCAGAUCCUAGUUCCUUCCAGUGCACUUUUCUGCCAUUCCAAGGGUUUUGCCUUCAUGAUUCAAAAUGACACAUCCACAUUCUAGGCAGCAGGAUGGAGGAAGGUGACUAAACCAUGUGACUAUAUUACUGAUUUUUAAAAUAUAACAAAAUUAUAAUUAUAAACAUGUAGAAUAGAUUGUAAAAGCCCAAACAAUACAAAAAUAAAAUAUAUUUUUGGAUUGUUAAAUCACCUAUAAUUGUUAUUUCUAUCAGCCCCACUCCAAAUUCCCAGCCUAAGCAUCUAGUUUAUUGCAACUAUUAAGGACUGAGCCAGUCUUGAUUCCCACAAUUGAAAAUGUUUUCAGAAGGAAUUAUUCUUAUGGAAGCUCAUAAAAUGUUCUUAAACCCAUAGGUUUGAAAAUAAGAAAAUUAUCUAGAGUGGAGUGGUAGACAGCUGAGUUAUCUGCCUGCCCAGCACUCACUUCCCAUUCUGGCAGGCAUACUUCAAUUUUGGUUUGGGGAACAAACUACCAGGUUCCUUUGCUUACAGACUUGGUAGAAAUUGUCAUUUGGGCUACAGAUGGGAAGACGUAGAAAUGUAACUCAAACUAGGACCAUAAUAUCCCUCUCUCUUCGAAUAAUUUGUCUCUUGGAUAUGGUUAAAAAGCAUAGACAUAUGACUGGGGAUCAUUUUCUCUAACAGAGACAUGGAACUCAAACAAAUUCCCUGAGCUGCUUUGGAUCCUGUUCUUUCUGAGGCCUGAUACUUCAGCGUCUUCAAAUCUAAUUUGCAAUGCCCCAUAUCCUUCCAGUACACCUCUUCUAUUUAAGUUACCUAGAGUCCAUUUAUGUUGCUUGCAAUCAAGAACCCUAACUGACAAAAGAAGCUAUUCACUUUUCUACCCAAAUAUUUGAAAUUAUACAGGUUGGUCUCUCCUACCUUGUUAAUUAUACCUGUUUUCUUCUCCAGCUUUUCCCAGGUGAGGCCAUUAAUGCCUCCACCCAUAGGCUUAACCCUGCCCUGUUUCUGAGCCAACUCUAAAGUGAGUAACAUUGGAAGCCAUAUGAUGAGAUAGUAGUGUCACGAGAUAGAAGAAAAUGGGAUCUCUAAGUCACUGGAUGUAGGAGGAUUCCCACUGACUUGACUUUGGUGAGUUCCCUGAGCCAAGCACUCCGCAGCUCCAUCGCAGCGUGGGCCUCUUGGAAAUUCGGUGCUAGUUCUCAAGGCCUCCUACCUGCUGAACCUUAGUCUUCAUUGCUGAAAUAAGAGCUGUCCUGCAAACAGAGUUUGGCGCUCGCUUUCUGGCCUCCGGCUGGUGGAGCAAGGACGUUUCCAGCACAUAAGAUUCCCCACUCUGUUAAAAAAAAAUGUGUUUAUACUUGGUCCCCUCUGAAGGCGGACGACACCCAUACUUUUGUCCCAGCCCAAUUUGCUGGCUGGGAUUUUUCUCAUCCUUUAAAUCCCGGGAAGCAAGGAACCUGCCCUCUGGCGCCAUCUACCGGCACUGUUUUUCGAGUCCAAGGAGCCCCCUGCGGAGUUGGGAUGUGUUUAGUAAUUGAUUGGAUGAAUCCUGCCACUUCGUUAGUAGAUUCUUAUUUUCUUCACGGACUCUUUACUAAUUAGUAAAGAGAUUAUAUAGCAAAUAUAUUAUCUUACUUUAAAGAGACCAGAGUCUCCUAUCUCUCGCUUCCCCCACCCCAUCAGUUGUGGCAUUCCUUCAUCUUUAAUUUCUUCCUUCGAAAAAUAUUUAUUUUGUUAUUGUAUAGAGAUCAGGGCAUGGGCCACACAGCUGCACACCUGAGCAAACAGAGGGGCUGACUGAUUUGCUGUUGUAAUGAAAAACAUUAGUUUUGGGUUCAUUACUGUGAUUCCACAAUGGGCACCAAAUCCCACUUAAGACCCACCGAAGAAGUCUUCAAAGGGACACGGUUUCAGGUCUGUGCCUGGUGAGCGUGCUGCCUCUUCGAAUCUUUGCACAGAAAUAACCUACGGUUGAAGACUCAGACCUGUCAGAUCAAAACCAACCCUGGCCUCCAGACCUUGAAACAAGUCAAAACAGUGAACCUUACUCAUCCGUUUUCAAAAUAUGGCCUGUUUUCUUUACAAAAUGCAGCAAAGCCUCUCAGAUGGGCGCUGGCUGCAAUAUUUGAUAUAUUAGGGAGAAUCCUGACUCCUUCCAGGUUUCUGCCCAUCUGUUUUAAAUCCAAAUGGCUUGGCAGAGGAUGGUUUUUAGUUAUGUAUUUUUUUCAUUUCAAAUGGAAUUUAAAACAGCAGGGGCAGAAAGCCCAGAUAUGGAUGAGAGAGAAAAUAAAAAGGCCCCUGUAAUUCCCCAUUCGCCUUCUACAUGAAGGAAAAAAUAUCGGCAUUUGUUGUAAACCUACUAUGUGUCAAGGUAUCACUAGGGAGUGUGAUGUUGCUGAGCCAUUGGAAUUUUAUAAAAUUUUAAAUGUUUUUCAUUUUCUUCUUCAGAGGUGGUUUGAUUUCAUGAUCAAGAGCUUGAACUUAAAGUCAAAUCCUUCUCCUGCCUCCUGCAGUCAUGGGGCCUUAGCUAUUCUCUGUAAUGACUCUAGGUCUCAGUUUCCUUGCCUGAGAACAGGCCUGUGAUAAUUACCUUGAUGGGCUAUUGUCAGUUUUAAAUAAGGUAGUGCAGAGGCAACUACCACAGGAAUGGUUCUGCCUUAAGAAUGAACUACGUGUGCAUGUGUCUUUAUAGCAGCAUGAUUUAUAGUCCUUUGGGUAUAUACCCAGUAAUGGGAUGGCUGGGUCAAAUGGUAUUUCUGGUUCUAGAUCCCUGAGGAAUCGCCACACUGACUUCCACAAUGGUUCAACUAGUUUACAGUCCCA
rnacentral:lncRNA from 10 species